CCUACGGGAGGCAGCAGUAGGGAAUAUUGGACAAUGGGCGCAAGCCUGAUCCAGCCAUGCCGCGUGUGUGAAGAAGGCCUUCGGGUUGUAAAGCACUUUCAGCGGGGAGGAAACGCCAUGGGUUAAUACCCUGUGGCUAUGACGUUACCCGCAGAAGAAGCACCGGCUAAUUUCGUGCCAGCAGCCGCGGUAAUACGAAAGGUGCGAGCGUUAAUCGGAAUUACUGGGCGUAAAGCGUACGUAGGCGGUUGAUUAAGCAGGAUGUGAAAGCCCCGAGCUCAACUUGGGAACUGCAUCCUGAACUGGUCAACUAGAGUACAGCAGAGGAGAGUGGAAUUUCUCGUGUAGCGGUGAAAUGCGUAGAUAUGAGAAGGAACACCAGUGGCGAAGGCGACUCUCUGGGUUGAUACUGACGCUGAGGUACGAAAGCGUGGGGAGCAAACAGGAUUAGAUACCCUGGUAGUCCACGCCGUAAACGAUGAGAACUA
rnacentral:rRNA from 1 species